UCGCUCCUACCGAUUGAGUGUUCCGGUGAAUAAUUCGGACUGCAGCAAUAUUCGGAUCCCGAACGUUGCAGUGGAAAGUUUGGUGAACCUUAACACUUAGAGGAAGGAG
rnacentral:rRNA from 1 species